AUGAAAAUAAUGCUAAAGAAGAAUAUUUAAUAACAUAGGAAGAUGAUUCUGCUAAAUCUCUUAAUGAACAAAAAGCACUUAUUAAAGUAUAUACCGUAUGAUCCCAUCUUUGUAAUAUAUAUUAAUUGUACUAAUACUAUUCAGCAAAUAAAUAUUGAGACCCAACUAUAUAUACAUCAGGCAUUAUAGAUACUGGUACUGGUGUUGAUGUGUGUGCAAUAACAGAUUUUAAUUUUCUUCUAUGUUCCAAUUUAUCUACAAUGACUAUCAAUUGUCUAACAAAAACUCACUAUUAUAAUGAAAAUUUUUGAAUUAUAAGAAAAGACUAACAAUAAUGUGGUAUAAAAUAAACUGACAACACAUAAGUGAUUUUGGCUCCACAUUCCAAAGUGACUCACCAAAUAUACCCUGAACUGUUUAUUUUUUUCCUAUUUCUCCAUUAAAACGAGCAGAUGCAUUUCACAUCACAUGGAUCUUCGUGGAAACAUGCCAACCAUUUUCUUAGCAACCAAACCCUGUCUUCCGCACUGUGCAUGAUUAACUAAAACAGCCUGUUGACGGCUUAAAAUAAACCUGCCUUUUUCCAUUUAGCAUUUUAUCAAAUGAAUGUAAUUUCAUUUGCUGAUGAAUUUAGUUCAGCUUCAAGGGAAUUUUUCUCUUCUUCGUGGGGAGGCUGAAGAAUCAGAACUGUCAUGCCAAAGAGAGAAAAGCAAGCCUAGGGAGAAAAAACAGUCUGAUGUUUAUACCGGGCAGACUUGCAGGCUCUACUUAAUUGACACCCAACCAGGAAUACCAGAAAUUUACUAUGUCUGAAUAUGAGAUGGAAAGGAGGAUACGAAAAACAGUGAGUCAGCCAUGAAAUAAGUUUAUGAUUCAAUCGAAUCCUCCUUACCCCAACUUUUUACAUUAUAAGCAAUAUAUGCCAUAUUGAUAGCUAUUAAGGGUAAAAGGAUUAAUUAAAACGAUAAUUACCUGAUAAGACUAAGCACACUAACCUGAUUUAGGGAAAAUUCAUCUACUUCAACUAAAAAUACCGAACCAAAAAAAAAAAAAAAAAAGAUGAAUAAUGACAUAAAAACCCUGUAGGUCCUAUUUCCACUGUGAUGUGACUUAAGGUAUCAUUCAAAUAAAAGAGUCACAGUGUGUUUUACAAUUUUAUUAGUAAGAGUUCUGAGUACAAAUAAAUUUCACUUGACAUUUAGAAAAAAAGUUAUUCACUAAGGUUUGUCACAAAGAAAAGCCUGUUCUGUACAUUUUAAUCUCCAAUUAAAGCUUAAUACCAUAAUGCUUCUAGGUCUACAACUGAAUUUUAGGUUUAUUUUAAUAAUUCUGUCUGAUUGCAACUGAUUAUAGAGACUAAAAAACAUCAGGUAGAAAACAGCAAGAGACUAAUUAAAAUGACCUGAAUAUAAAGCUUUACUUUUUUUAAAAAGCCUUUAAAACCAAAAACCUAAAAAUAAGAAUACUUUGGGCACAGCAUGAACAAAAUUAAUAUCACAUAAUUUAUCAGAAACUGCAUUACAAUAAUAUUGUAGUUUAUAUAUAAGAAUGAUUUACAACAUACUAAAUGCUUGUUAAUAUCAGUCAUAAAAAAAUCUAUUUAAAAAAUUUAAUAUAGUUCAGGAGUCGAUUCAGCAGCAGAUUCAGUUCCCAAAAAGUAAGAGGAACACAAUUUCGAAGAUGCUAGGUGGCACAUCUUUUAAUUAAAGACCUAACCACAUAAGUAUUGUCAAAUAAUUAUGAAAUUAUAUUCAAUAAGCACUUAUAAGAACUCA